UACGUAGGGGGCAAGCGUUGUCCGGAAUCAUUGGGCGUAAAGAGCGUGUAGGCGGCCAGAAAAGUCCGCUGUGAAAACUCGAGGCUCAACUUCGAGCUGUCGGUGGAAACUUUCUGGCUAGAGUCCGGAAGAGGAGAAUGGAAUUCCUGGUGUAGCGGUGAAAUGCGCAGAUAUCAGGAAGAACACCCGUGGCGAAGGCGGCUCACUGGCCCGAUACUGACGCUGAGGCACGAAAGCGUGGGGAGCAAACAGG
rnacentral:rRNA from 1 species